GACGAACGCUGGCGGCGUGCUUAACACAUGCAAGUCGAACGAUGAAGCCUAGCUUGCUAGGUGGAUUAGUGGCGAACGGGUGAGUAAUACGUGAGUAACCUACCUUUAACUCUGGGAUAAGCCCGGGAAACUGGGUCUAAUACCGGAUACGACCAAUCUCCGCAUGGGGUGUUGGUGGAAAGCGUUAUGUAGUGGUUAUAGAUGGGCUCACGGCCUAUCAGCUUGUUGGUGAGGUAACGGCUCACCAAGGCGACGACGGGUAGCCGGCCUGAGAGGGUGACCGGCCACACUGGGACUGAGACACGGCCCAGACUCCUACGGGAGGCAGCAGUGGGGAAUAUUGCACAAUGGGCGCAAGCCUGAUGCAGCGACGCCGCGUGAGGGAUGACGGCCUUCGGGUUGUAAACCUCUGUUAGCAGGGAAGAAGAGAGAUUGACGGUACCUGCAGAGAAAGCGCCGGCUAACUACGUGCCAGCAGCCGCGGUAAUACGUAGGUCCCGAGCGUUAUCCGGAUUUAUUGGGCGUAAAGCGAGCGCAGGCGGUUAGAUAAGUCUGAAGUUAAAGGCUGUGGCUUAACCAUAGUACGCUUUGGAAACUGUUUAACUUGAGUGCAAGAGGGGAGAGUGGAAUUCCAUGUGUAGCGGUGAAAUGCGUAGAUAUAUGGAGGAACACCGGUGGCGAAAGCGGCUCUCUGGCUUGUAACUGACGCUGAGGCUCGAAAGCGUGGGGAGCAAACAGG
rnacentral:rRNA from 1 species